rnacentral:rRNA from 1 species
CACGUAGGGCGCAAGCGUUGUCCGGAAUUAUUGGGCGUAAAGAGCUCGUAGGCGGUCUGUUGCGUCCGCUGUGAAAACUCGGGGCUUAACCCCGAGCCUGCAGUGGAUACGGGCAGACUAGAGGUAGGUAGGGGAGAAUGGAAUUCCCGGUGUAGCGGUGAAAUGCGUAGAUAUCAGGAGGAACACCUGUGGCGAAAGCGGCUCACUGGACCAUAACUGACGUUGAUGCACGAAAGCUAGGGGAGCAAACAGG